UACGGAGGGUGCAAGCGUUGUCCGGAAUUAUUGGGCGUAAAGAGCUCGUAGGUGGUCUGUUGCGUCCGCUGUGAAAACUCAGGGCUUAACCCUGAGCCUGCAGUGGAUACGGGCAGACUAGAGGUAGGUGGGGGAGAAUGGAAUUCCUGGUGUAGUGGUGAAAUGCGUAGAUAUCGGGAGGAACACCUGUGGCGAAAGCGGCGCACUGGACCAUAACUGACGCUGAUGCGCGAAAGCUAGGGGAGCAAACAGG
rnacentral:rRNA from 1 species